GAUGAACGCUGGCGGCGUGCCUAAUACAUGCAAGUCGAGCGAACGGACGAGAAGCUUGCUUCUCUGCUGUUAGCGGCGGACGGGUGAGUAACACGUGGAUAACCUACCUAUAAGACUGGGAUAACAUCGGGAAACCGGAGCUAAUACCGGAUAAUCUUUUGAACCGCAUGGAUCAAUAGUGAAAGACGGCUUUGCUGUCACUUAUAGAUGUAUCCGCGCUGCAUUAGCUAGUUGGUAAGGUAACGGCUUACCAAGGCAACGAUGCAUAGCCGACCUGAGAGGGUGAUCGGCCACACUGGAACUGAGACACGGCCCAGACUCCUACGGGAGGCAGCAGUAGGGAAUCUUCCGCAAUGGGCGAAAGCCUGACGGAGCAACGCCGCGUGAGUGAUGAAGGUCUUCGGAUCGUAAAACUCUGUUAUUAGGGAAGAACAUAUGUGUGAGUAACUGUGCACGUCUUGACGGUACCUAAUCAGAAAGCCACGGCUAACUACGUG
rnacentral:rRNA from 1 species